CACCAGCGCCACGAGUGGCUAUCACGAUUAUUGGGCCUAAAGCGUCCGUAGUCGGUUCUGUACAUCUUCUGUGAAAUCGUUGCGCUUAACGUAACGGCACGCGGAAGACACGGCAGAGCUUGAGAGCGGGAGGCGUGAAGGGUACUCCGGGGGGACCGGUAAAAUGGUAUAAUCCCCGGAAGACCACCUGUGGCGAAGGCGCUUCACGAGAACGCAUCUGACGAUGAGGGACGAAAGCCAGGGGAGCAAA
rnacentral:rRNA from 1 species